rnacentral:rRNA from 1 species
AGCGAACGCUGGCGGCGGGCCUAACACAUGCAAGUCGAGCGGCCGUAGCAAUACGGCAGCGGCAGACGGGAGAGUAACACGUGGGAACGCGCCCUUUGGUUCGGAAUAACACAGGGAAACUUGAGCUAAUACCGGAUAAGCCCUUACGGGGAAAGAUUUAUCGCCAAAGGAACGGCCCGCGUCCGAUUAGCUAGUUGGUGAGGUAACGGCUCACCAAGGCGACGAUCGGUAGCUGGUCUGAGAGGAUGACCAGCCUCACUGGGACUGAGACACGGCCCAGACUCCUACGGGAGGCAGCAGUGGGAAUAUUGCACAAUGGGGGAAACCCUGAUGCAGCGACGCCGCGUGAA